rnacentral:rRNA from 1 species
CAGAGUUUGAUCCUGGCUCAGAACGAACGCUGGCGGCGCGUUUUAAGCAUGCAAGUCGAGCGGCAAGGGCCUUCGGGCCCCUAGAGCGGCGGACGGGUGAGUAACACGUGGACAAUCUGCCCCCCGGCCGGGGAUAGCCCAGGGUAACCUGGAUUUAUACCGGAUGAGACCGGACGCACGAGGGUGCGAUCCGGGCCAGGCGCUGCGGCGCCGCCGGGGGAUGAGUCCGCGACCCAUUAGCUGGACGGCGGGGUUAAGGCCCACCGUGGCGACGAUGGGUAGCCGGCCUGAGAGGGUGGACGGCCACUUUUGAACUGGGACACGGUCCAGACUCCUACGGGAGGCAGCAGCUAAGAAUCUUCCGCAAUGGGCGAAAGCCUGACGGAGCGACGCCGCGUGAACGAAGAAGGACGUGAGGUUGUAAAGUUCCUUUCGGGAGGGGGAAUGACCGUUGCAGGGAAUGGCCGCGGGAUGACGUGAAUCCCGGAAUAAGCCCCGGCUAACUACGUGCCAGCAGCCGCGGUAACAGGUAGGGGGCGAGCGUUGUUCGGAAUCAUUGGGCGUCAAGGGCGUGCAGGCGGCACUGCAAGUCCGGCGUGAAAGACCCCGGCCCAACCGGGGGGGUGCGCUGGAAACUGCGGUGCUUGAGUACAGGAGGGGAUGCCCGAAUUCCAGGUGUAGGGGUGAAAUCUAUAGAUAUCUGGAAGAACACGGAUGGCGAAGGCAGGCAUCUGGCCAUGUACUGACGCUGAGACGCGAAGGUGCGGGGAGCAAACAGGUUUAGAUACCCUGGUAGUCCGCACAGUUAACGAUGUGCACCAGGUGGCCGGGGUAGAACCCCCGGUACCGUAGCCAACGCAUUAAAUGCACCGCCUGGGGAGUAUGCUC